rnacentral:rRNA from 1 species
UGAAGCAACAAAUGCCCUGCUUCCAGGAAAAGCCUCUAAGCAUCAGGUAACAUCAAAUCGUACCCCAAACCGACACAGGUGGUCAGGUAGAGAAUACCAAGGCGCUUGAGAGAACUCGGGUGAAGGAACUAGGCAAAAUGGUGCCGUAACUUCGGGAGAAGGCACGCUGAUAUGUAGGUGAAGCGACUUGCUCGUGGAGCUGAAAUCAGUCGAAGAUACCAGCUGGCUGCAACUGUUUAUUAAAAACACAGCACUGUGCAAACACGAAAGUGGACGUAUACGGUGUGACGCCUGCCCGGUGCCGGAAGGUUAAUUGAUGGGGUUAGCGCAAGCGAAGCUCUUGAUCGAAGCCCCGGUAAACGGCGGCCGUAACUAUAACGGUCCUAAGGUAGCGAAAUUCCUUGUCGGGUAAGUUCCGACCUGCACGAAUGGCGUAAUGAUGGCCAGGCUGUCUCCACCCGAGACUCAGUGAAAUUGAACUCGCUGUGAAGAUGCAGUGUACCCGCGGCAAGACGGAAAGACCCCGUGAACCUUUACUAUAGCUUGACACUGAACAUUGAGCCUUGAUGUGUAGGAUAGGUGGGAGGCUUAGAAGUGUGGACGCCAGUCUGCAUGGAGCCGACCUUGAAAUACCACCCUUUAAUGUUUGAUGUUCUAACGUUGACCCGUAAUCCGGGUUGCGGACAGUGUCUGGUGGGUAGUUUGACUGGGGCGGUCUCCUCCUAAAGAGUAACGGAGGAGCACGAAGGUUGGCUAAUCCUGGUCGGACAUCAGGAGGUUAGUGCAAUGGCAUAAGCCAGCUUGACUGCGAGCGUGACGGCGCGAGCAGGUGCGAAAGCAGGUCAUAGUGAUCCGGUGGUUCUGAAUGGAAGGGCCAUCGCUCAACGGAUAAAAGGUACUCCGGGGAUAACAGGCUGAUACCGCCCAAGAGUUCAUAUCGACGGCGGUGUUUGGCACCUCGAUGUCGGCUCAUCACAUCCUGGGGCUGAAGUAGGUCCCAAGGGUAUGGCUGUUCGCCAUUUAAAGUGGUACGCGAGCUGGGUUUAGAACGUCGUGAGACAGUUCGGUCCCUAUCUGCCGUGGGCGCUGGAGAACUGAGGGGGGCUGCUCCUAGUACGAGAGGACCGGAGUGGACGCAUCACUGGUGUUCGGGUUGUCAUGCCAAUGGCACUGCCCGGUAGCUAAAUGCGGAAGAGAUAAGUGCUGAAAGCAUCUAAGCACGAAACUUGCCCCGAGAUGAGUUCUCCCUGACUCCUUGAGAGUCCUGAAGGAACGUUGAAGACGACGACGUUGAUAGGCCGGGUGUGUAAGCGCAGCGAUGCGUUGAGCUAACCGGUACUAAUGAACCGUGAGG